rnacentral:rRNA from 1 species
UACACUCCUGCGGGAGGCAGCAGUGGGGAAUUUUGGACAAUGGGCGAAAGCCUGAUCCAGCCAUGCCGCGUGCAGGAUGAAGGCCUUCGGGUUGUAAACUGCUUUUGUACGGAACGAAACGGCCUUUUCUAAUAAAGAGGGCUAAUGACGGUACCGUAAGAAUAAGCACCGGCUAACUACGUGCCAGCAGCCGCGGUAAUACGUAGGGUGCAAGCGUUAAUCGGAAUUACUGGGCGUAAAGCGUGCGCAGGCGGUUAUGUAAGACAGUUGUGAAAUCCCCGGGCUCAACCUGGGAACUGCAUCUGUGACUGCAUAGCUAGAGUACGGUAGAGGGGGAUGGAAUUCCGCGUGUAGCAGUGAAAUGCGUAGAUAUGCGGAGGAACACCGAUGGCGAAGGCAAUCCCCUGGACCUGUACUGACGCUCAUGCACGAAAGCGUGGGGAGCAAACAGGAUUAGAUACCCCUGUAGUCCCAUG